AAACUUCAACCGACAACAAUUAACAACAACCAAUGUAACUUCAACAACCACCGUAACAACGGCAGUAACGUAUAAUGCUGUAACGCGAAUAACAACAACUCAGCGAUAUCACGGUGACAUAUCAACCACAGCGUAACAACAAUAUCAAUGACAAACAACAACAAAAAUCAACACAACACAAUCAACAAAAACGAUACCAACCAUCAGUCAACCUAACCGUUUCGAAAUUUUUUACCAUUUUACCCCUCCGUACAGCCAAUAAUGGCUGAUAAUUUCAUCAAAUUUUUCCUUUCUCAGAUUAUGUCAUCCGUUUCUGAUGAGAAGCCAAUGGAUACAAGAAAUUAAAAUUUGAAAUUCAACUUUUCAAAUUCAAAAUCCUAAUUUCCCCCUAAAUUUUCCUAUAAAUAGAGAUUGAGGGAUAGAGGAAAGGAAGGAUACCGUAAAAUUAUAUGAAAUACAGGGAUAAAAAACUCUCUCUAAAAAUUAUAUAUUUGCGUUGAGUUUUAAACUCUGCUAUCAAUUGCGUGUUUUUAAACCCUCGCUAUAAAUAAAAAAAAAUUCUACGCUAUUCAAAAAGAUUGCCGCUUAUCCCAAAACAUUUUCCCUCUAUUUAAUUAAAAGCUCUCCCUUAUUUCCCCCAAAUCUCUCAUUCCUCCCAAAUUACCGGACUCUCUCAUUUUCCCCCAAAUUGAUUCCGGUCGGUCGACCAUUGCUAUUCCGGUCGGCCAUUGCACAUAGUGGAUUCUGAGGUUGGUGCUGCAAUUGAGCUGGACUCCAAGGCUGGUAUUGCAAUUGGCAGAUUAAUGAGAUUUCUCUUCAAAGUCGGUUUCGACAUAAAAAUAUAGUUCGCUAUCAUGGCACAAACAAGGACGAAAGCAAACUGUAUAUCUUUCUUGAGCUUGUUACAAAAGGUUCGCUUGCAAGUGUCUAUCGUAAGUAUCACUUGCGUGAUUCCCAUGUUUCGGAUUACAACAGGCAAAUCUUGAGUGGGUUGCAUUAUCUUCAUUCCAGAGAAGUGAAGCACAGGCGAUACAUAUGUUCUCUGUACAUUGCUGAUUUGUGGUUAUUAUUUGUCCUCUUACAAUUUAUGGGAGCAGUGUCUUGAUUCUCUGUUUAAGAUAUGUGCAUGUAGAACUUAUAUCUCAAUCACUAGAAGAACGUUUAGUUGUCGUCACUGGACUUUUUACAUGAUGUCAUGGAAACUUCUUCUUUCUAAGACUUUUGUUAUGCUCUUCUAAGGGACAUUAAGUGUGCCAAUAUAUUGGUGGGUGUUAGUGGUUCAGUGAAGCUUGCGGAUUUCGGACUGUCAAAGGUGAGAUAGUUAUGCAUUCUGUAGUUAUUUCCUUUUCUUGGUAUCUUAUAUCAAUCAACUUAGCCUUAAUCGGAAACUAGCUGGGGAUGGCUAUAUGAAUUGUCUAUAUCCGUUCCAAUUUUAUUGGUUCAUUUUAAUACCUAAAAAGUUGUCUUUUAGAACAAAUUAAAACUACUUGAGGUGAAUGGCUGAGAUCAACCUGACUAUUUUAAAGCUUCCCGUCUUCUUCAAGCAAAGGGGCCUCCUCUUUUACCCUUCAUGCGCUUUUGCUCUUCCAACAUGGAUUCUCAGAAUCCCUAUAACAUUUGUUGAGUGUGCUAUGUGGACAUUCCUGACAUAUUAUGUCAUGGGAUUUGAUCCAGUGGUUUCGAGGUAAGCGGCGAAAAAGGCAAUACAAAAUAUUAAUUAGAUUGCCUUUAUAAUUUCAUUAGUAUUAAGGGACUACUACUGUUUUGCAGAUUGUUCAAACAAUUCUUGCUUCUCGUACUAGUACACCAGAUGGCAUAAGGAUUGUACAGAUUCAUUGGAGCAGCGGGGAGAACAAUGGGAGUCACUAGCACAUUUGGAGCAUUUGCACUGGUUUUACAAUUUGCAUUUUCUAGAUUUGUACUCUCUAGAGGUUGCGACAGAGGAUGUGAAGAAAUAGUGGAUCUGGGGUUACUGGAUCUCACCAUUGAUGUAUUCUGUGAAUUCAAUUCUUGUGAAUGAAUUUGAUGGGAAGAAGUGCAAACAUCUUUAAGAAGCCACAAGUUAUGAAAUCAGACGACAAUGAGAAUGCAGAAAAUGAAAGGCUCAUUGAGGGAAGUGAAACUGAGGUUCAGGACAAGAAGAGGGGAAUGGUUCUUCCAUUUGGACCACACUCCAUCAUUUUUGAUAACAUUGAAUACUCUGUUGACAUGCCUCAGGUAACUUUCCAAAAAUAGUUACUGACAAUAUUCGUGACUCGUGAGGCUUUUAUUUUCUAUGAACAACCAACCCAACAUUCUAAUGAAAUGCAAGAACUAAAAGACCAAGGUUCCACUGAAGAUAGAUUGGUACUUCUAAAGGGUGUGAGUGGAGCUUUCCAGCCAGGUGUUCUCACAGCUUUGAUGGGUGUUAGUGGUGCUGGUAAAACAACAUUGAUGGAUGUCUUGGCUGGAAGAAAAAUAGAAGGAUAUAUUGAUGCUGAUGUCAAGAUUUCUGGAUAUCCUAAGAAGCAAGAAACCUUUGCAUGUAUCUCUGGAUAUUAUGAACAGAAUGACAUUCAUUUGCCUUAUGUUACUGUUUAUGAGUCCUUGCUACAACUUAGCUUGGCAGCGUUUACCUCAAGACGUUGACAAAAAUAAGAGAAAGAUAUUUUUGAGGAAGUUAUGGAACUUGUAGAGCUAACUCCAUUAAUAUCAGCUUUAGUUGGAUUGCCUGGAGUUGAUGGUCUAUCAACCGAGCAACGUAAAAGGCUGACCAUUGCAGUUGAACUAGUAGCAGACCCCUCUAUCAUUUUCAUGGAUGAAUCGACUUCUGGGUUGUAUGCAAGAGCUGCUGCCAUUGUAAUGAGAGCUGUUAGGAACACUGUCGAUACUGGAAGAACCGUCGUCUGUACCAUUCAUCAGCCUAGCAUCGACAUUUUUGAAGCCUUCGAUGAGCCAAGUAUGCGGCUACUGGACUAUUUCGCCCAUGGAUGCAAGGAGAUCACGUGAUGAUAAUGAUCCUAAUGACAUUCUUUGAUUUCAUUGCAUUUGUCUUGGAUAUUCAAUUACGAUGAGUAUUUGAGGAUUCGGGAGGCGCAUGUUUCUAAUCCUACGUAAUCAAAAAUUCUAGAAGAAACGGACUCAAGAGCUUGAUUCCCACGAAAAUUAAACUCCAAAGAUUCGGAACCUAAACUCCGGUGGUGAAAGUCCAUCAUCAAGUCUCGUUGUUCUAAGUUCGUUGCUCUAAAAAAGGACUAAAACCAUCCUUACUCAAGUCAAAAAUCUCUGUCAAAAUCUGUCCAGGGGCUGUAUACAUUUGUAUUAAUUAGAAAUACACUGGGAUAGCUUCAGCUACGCGUUAUUAUAUUGUUUACAUAAAAAAUGGAAGCAAACAUGCUGAUUUCUACACUGAUAUACAGUGUAUACGUGGUGAUGUGCAUAAAAAUGCAGAUGUUGAAGCUGAUGAUAUACAACUGGUAUACACUUCAGAAAAUGGACUGAAGUCAAUAAUUCAAGGCCCCAAAGCUGGGCAGCUUUAUUGAUGGCCUAAUUAAGGGCCCAAUUUCAAUUCUUGUAUUUAUUUUUGUAGCUUGUAUUGUUUAUUUAUAUCAACUAACAUUUUAAUCAAUUAACCUAGAUAAAUUUCCUA